GUUAAAGUAGAGCAAUUGGUUAGCUCAUUAGGCUCAUGCCCUAAAGGUUGUAGGUUCAAGUCCUACCUUUAACA
rnacentral:tRNA from 1 species